rnacentral:rRNA from 1 species
UACAGGGGGUGCAAACGUUGCUCGGAAUCAUUGGGCGUAAAGCGCACGUAGGCGGUUCGUUAUGUCGGAUGUGAAAGCCCUUGGCUUAACCGAGGAAGUGCAUCCGAAACUGGCGAGCUAGAGUACUAAAGAGGAUCGCGGAAUUCCCGGUGUAGAGGUGAAAUUCGUAGAUAUCGGGAGGAACACCGGUGGCGAAGGCGGCGAUCUGGGUAGAUACUGACGCUGAGGAGCGAAAGCGUGGGGAGCGAACGAGG